rnacentral:rRNA from 1 species
UACGUAGGGUCCGAGCGUUGUCCGGAAUUACUGGGCGUAAAGAGCUCGUAGGUGGUUUGUCGCGUUGUUCGUGAAAACUCACAGCUUAACUGUGGGCGUGCGGGCGAUACGGGCAGACUUGAGUACUGCAGGGGAGACUGGAAUUCCUGGUGUAGCGGUGAAAUGCGCAGAUAUCAGGAGGAACACCGGUGGCGAAGGCGGCAUCCUGGACCGGUAUUGACGCU